rnacentral:antisense_RNA from 1 species
AGGCGACAACGUUCAGCCGUCAUCGGUAAACAUACCAAACCACGGGCAUGAGUAACCAUGAAAUUAAUUGCUUCUGGUGUGACGUGCUCUGCAGCCAUGAUU